ACCUGAAUAGCUCAGCCGGUUAGAGAAGCCGACCCAUACUCAGCGUAUCCGGGGUUCGAAUCCCCGUGGGGGCA
rnacentral:tRNA from 1 species